rnacentral:rRNA from 1 species
GAUGAACGCUGGCGGCGUGCCUAAUACAUGCAAGUCGAGCGAACGGACGAGAAGCUUGCUUCUCUGAUGUUAGCGGCGGACGGGUGAGUAACACGUGGAUAACCUACCUAUAAGACUGGGAUAACUUCGGGAAACCGGAGCUAAUACCGGAUAAUAUUUUGAACCGCAUGGUUCAAAAGUGAAAGACGGUCUUGCUGUCACUUAUAGAUGGAUCCGCGCUGCAUUAGCUAGUUGGUAAGGUAACGGCUUACCAAGGCAACGAUGCAUAGCCGACCUGAGAGGGUGAUCGGCCACACUGGAACUGAGACACGGUCCAGACUCCUACGGGAGGCAGCAGUAGGGAAUCUUCCGCAAUGGGCGAAAGCCUGACGGAGCAACGCCGCGUGAGUGAUGAAGGUCUUCGGAUCGUAAAACUCUGUUAUUGUGGAAGAACAUAUGUGUAAGUAACUGUGCACAUCUUGACGGUACCUAAUCAGAAAGCCACGGCUAACUACGUG